rnacentral:lncRNA from 1 species
AACCACUAUCCCCAUCCCUUUCUCCUUCCUGAAAUCCAAGGACCCAAACCUAGUUUUUUACUGUAAUUUUUUUUCCUAUAUCCUUCCUUGAUUUUAUCACGAACAAUUUUCGACAUUAAAAAUAAUAUUCACGAUCAUUAUUUUCAAAAAUAAAAAAUAGAAUUUGUGUACUCUGAGUUGAUCUGGUAGGUGGUGCUCUGUUCUGUCUUUGAAUUGGUCUCCUUUCAAGUCUUCUUAGCCUCUGUUUUAUACUACUACUGGCCCUUUUAUUUUUCAACUCUGAAACCUCUUUUUAACCCACUUCUUCCUCGUCAUCUCCAACUCAAAUACUAUAUACAUAUUGUGAUUUUUUCUUUCUUUGGUUGGCUUAGUUUUCUUAGCAGGUUGAAAGAGAUACAAUACUGAUUUAGUUCAGCUAGUGAGGAGAGAGUGUAUAUACACAUAUUCAGAGGAGAGGAGCAAGAUCGAUCCAACCCAAAGCUUAUAGAGACUUUUAUCGGAUUGGGUUUGUGUUUGAUAUCCGAGUUGCCCUGUUAAACUAACUUUUUCAUCCAUUUUUAUGACAGAGCUCUGUUAAUUUCACCUAGUUUUGUUAGAUUUGUGUUGUUGUUAUAGCUCUUGAUCCUCACAGAUUUAUUUCUUCCAUUUCUUUUUUACCAUGAAUCUGUCCACAAAUCUGUCC